CACACACACAGAAUAAUGACAAUGUUGAGGUUGUGCGCUAGUUUGACUUUAGUUCCGUAAUGGCGGCGGAGAAAGAUGCCAGCGAAGCCAUGCAUCCCGUUGUGGCAACGCUGACAAAUAUCCAGAAGUUUAAGCCCGUGCAAGAACAAUCUUUGCUGAGUUUAAUUGGGGGCCAUGAUGUUGUGACCCUCCUCCCCACUGGGUUCGGGAAAAGUUUGAUUUUCCAGCUUGCUCCGUUUAUGGUGAAGGAGUUGGCUAAGGCGAACGCUAGCGAUGCU